rnacentral:rRNA from 1 species
UACAGGGGGGGCAAGCGUUGUUCGGAUUCAUUGGGCGUAAAGGGUGUGUAGGUGGCGCCGUAAGUCAGGUGUGAAAUUUCGGAGCUUAACUCCGAAACUGCAUUUGAUACUGCGGUGCUUGAGGACUGGAGAGGAGACUGGAAUUCAUGGUGUAGCAGUGAAAUGCGUAGAGAUCAUGAGGAAGACCAGUGGCGAAGGCGGGUCUCUGGACAGUUCCUGACACUGAGACACGAAGGCCAGGGGAGCAAACGGG